rnacentral:rRNA from 1 species
ACAGAGAGCUUGCUCUCGGGUGACGAGUGGCGGACGGGUGAGUAAUGUCUGGGAAACUGCCCGAUGGAGGGGGAUAACUACUGGAAACGGUAGCUAAUACCGCAUAACGUCGCAAGACCAAAGUGGGGGACCUUCGGGCCUCACACCAUCGGAUGUGCCCAGAUGGGAUUAGCUAGUAGGUGAGGUAAUGGCUCACCUAGGCGACGAUCCCUAGCUGGUCUGAGAGGAUGACCAGCCACACUGGAACUGAGACACGGUCCAGACUCCUACGGGAGGCAGCAGUGGGGAAUAUUGCACAAUGGGCGCAAGCCUGAUGCAGCCAUGCCGCGUGUAUGAAGAAGGCCUUCGGGUUGUAAAGUACUUUCAGCGAGGAGGAAGGCGUUAAGGUUAAUAACCUUAGCGAUUGACGUUACUCGCAGAAGAAGCACCGGCUAACUCCGUGCCAGCAGCCGCGGUAAUAUGGAGGGUGCAAGCGUUAAUCGGAAUUACUGGGCGUAAAGCGCACGCAGGCGGUCUGUCAAGUCGGAUGUGAAAUCCCCGGGCUCAACCUGGGAACUGCAUUCGAAACUGGCAGGCUAGAGUCUUGUAGAGGGGGGUAGAAUUCCAGGUGUAGCGGUGAAAUGCGUAGAGAUCUGGAGGAAUACCGGUGGCGAAGGCGGCCCCCUGGACAAAGACUGACGCUCAGGUGCGAAAGCGUGGGGAGCAAACAGGAUUAGAUACCCUGGUAGUCCACGCCGUAAACGAUGUCUAUUUGAAGGUUGUUCCCCUGAGGAGUGGCUUUCGGAGCU